rnacentral:lncRNA from 13 species
GGACAUGCUUCUACGAUCUUGUAGUCUAUUUGAAGACAGACAGCACUCGUAUAUUUUUUUUCGCUUCAUACUUUUUAGAGUUCUAGGAAAGUACAACUCUCUGACGGGGGAAUGGUGAUCAGUUGACAAAGAGCCGUGCUUCUUCAAAUAAGGUUACUCUUGUGAAACUAUGAGGCUCCUACUCUCGUCUCUGGACAAACAGAAAAUAAAAUUCCCAAAUUAAAAUUAUUUUCAUUUACUAUCCAGACCUGCCUGUAUCAUCAGUCUGAUUUACUGGAAUGAAUCUGAAAAUUAUAGUUAUGUUUCUGGAACAAUAAAUGUCAAAGGUUUUUUGCUGACACCUGCUUUCUAUUCCACUGAUUGACCUAGUGGCUGUGGCUGGCAUUCCAUUGCAGGAAAUAUGAGAAGCAGUCUCCUCCACAGCGAAAGCUUCAAGCGGACCCCCCAGCCUGCCAGGAGAAUCCCCAGUCAUGGGACCAUACAUGGAGCUCAGGGAUAAGCUAAGUCCUUUAUUUCAUUAGGUAUAAAAUGCACAGAGUAUGAAAACCAGCCUUGCAUCUCCUACGUCUGAGAGGAGUUAUUAAUAGCCCCCCCCCCACACUCCUGUUGCCGCCCAGUACAUUACUUUACUUCAAGUAUUCAUUGAUUGAAAUUUCCCUCAACCCUUUUUUUUAACAGGUCCUAAAUCAGAUGCUGAUGUAAUAGUGGCUUGAUGAGCCCUCCCGUUCUGUGUACAGAGAACAUUGGAUGAAAGGUGGUCUGACCCACCUUCCCACUCCCCUCAAUCUCUAUUCCCCUCCAGACGAAGAGAAGGAUGAAAAUACCCGCCUGAGAUACUAUCCGUCUUAUUAAUGAAGGGGAAAUAAUGACUUGGUAUGGGUAAUGAGUUUGGCUGGAGGAGGGGAGAGGAACAAGAGGAAAUGGAUUCCACAGGGAAGCAGCAAAGUCAUGCCCCUAGCCAAGACUGAUGCAGUGGACCAUGGCAGAGGAACACAGAGCAGACUAGCCCUCCAAAAGCAUGCCAGCGGUAAAUAGACAAAAUAAUGACCAUCACCCCCUAACUGCCUUGGGGCGGCUGUGACUGACUAUACAUGCAUCACUAGACUAUACACACACCCCCCACCCCACCCCAAAAUAUUCGACAAAUUUAAAUCCCUCUCCACUCCUCUUGCCAUGUAUACAGUAUAGAGAAGUUGCUGGCUGCCAGGCUCUUAACAUCUGAACAGUCCUUCCCGUGUGUGUGUGUGUGUGUGUGUGUGUGUGUGUGUGUGCGUGUGUGUGUGUGUGUGUGUGUGUGAAUCUGCCUGGGAAGCGGACUCUGUUAUGUAAGCCCCAGGUGGCCGUUGUUGUCCUGGACAGAGUUAUCACCAAGGGGACAACUUCCUAGGUCCCCCUGCACCACACCUCCUUUUCUUCCCACGUCAUACGCUUGUGAGAGGCUGAGCGACUGAGACAUGCUCUGUAGGAGGGAUGGUAUGGCAGACAAGAGGAGUGUAAGAAAUGUCAAUAAAUCCAGGGGCCAACUCCUCUUAAAGCAUCCUUUAAACUGAAUACCUAGAAGCUGGAAUGGUUAUGCCAACAACAGAAGCUGUCACAAUGGCUUCACUGCAUGGAAGGGAAACGAUGAGACAGUGUGUGUAAAAUAUAAAACUCAUUACUUAACAA